AAGACUAUACUUUCAGGGAUCAUUACUGGAGAAUUUUCUCUAAACAUAUAAACCAUGAGGAGGAAGCCCAGUGUUCGCUCCUGGACCUGAAGCUGGCUCUGGUGUUGCUUUACUGCAGCUGUCAUUUACCAUCAAUUCUUCUCUACCUCUGGGAGAGUAAGAGAGAGAAGAUUCAGACUGACUGGG
rfam:Otolemur garnettii contig102412, whole genome shotgun sequence.